GAUGAACGCUAGCUACAGGCUUAACACAUGCAAGUCGAGGGGAAACGGCAUUAAGUGCUUGCACUUUUUGGACGUCGACCGGCGCACGGGUGAGUAACGCGUAUCCAACCUUCCCAUGACUAAGGGAUAACCUGCCGAAAGGCAGACUAAUACCUUAUGGUCUUCACUGACGGCAUCAGAUGUGAAGUAAAGAUUUAUCGGUUAUGGAUGGGGCUGCGUCUGAUUAGCUUGUUGGCGGGGUAACGGCCCACCAAGGCAACGAUCAGUAGGGGUUCUGAGAGGAAGGUCCCCCACAUUGGAACUGCGACACGGUCCAAACUCCGACGGGAGGCAGGAGUGAGGAAUAUUGGUCAAUGGGCGAGAGCCUGAACCAGCCAAGUAGCGUGCAGGAUGACGGCCCUAUGGGUUGUAAACUGCUUUUGUAUGGGGAUAAAGUCAAUCACGUGUGAUUGUUUGCAGGUACCAUACGAAUAAGGACCGGCUAAUUCCGUG
rnacentral:rRNA from 1 species